AGGCUACAACAUGGAUGAACCGUGAAGACAUUAUUCUAAGUGAAAUAAGCCAGUCGCAAAAGGACGAAUAUUGUAUGAUUCCACUUACGUGAGAAUUAUCCUUGGGGGUCCCAGAGCCUGGAAGACACACAGGGCCCUUCCAUCAUCCUGACUGUCCAUCGCUGUGGCACAUCAUGCCCAAACCUCGGCUUCUUCUCUGCAGGCUCUCCCCUUUGCCCAGGGAGUAAGAGGAGGGGCGUUGAUGACAAUCCUCCUGAGAGAGAGGGCCUCUGGGAGCUCAAGGGCAGAGAGCACUCCAGCCUAGACUGCCCGCUUUAGGAAAUGCUUCAUUUUGGGUUUCCUUGGAGUCCCCCUGCCCCUCCCCCCACCACGACAGCCCCUUUAUCCUCCACUCUCUCUCAGGGCUCCUCCAGCCCUUCUGCAUGAGCCUGCUCCCUGUCCUCCCCUGGGGCAUCGUUGCAUUUCAGGUGGAGACCAGAGCUAGAGGCGGCUUGGGAGAGUUUAUCCGGGGUUUUCUGCUCUGGUUCCCACCCACCUGCAUAUGCACAGAUUCUGGCUGGAGCGGAAGCCUCUCCUCCCUGAGAACUGCUGCAUCUCCCUUUCCACCACCAGAGGCGCAUAGCAGAAGCUAAGCCUGAAGCCCAGUGAGAUGGCGCUCCCCAGCGGCGGCCGACUGACCGAAUUGGGGACGGAUACGUGGUUCUUGCAGCAGGCCAGAUUCUCGAGAAUUUAGCCUGAAAGAUUCAAAGUCAGACUGCAGUAGUCCAUGAACUGGAAGCCUCUGUACCUUUGGGGGAUCAAGUGUAUAGGGCAGCAGAGAAUUUACACAGAAGUGUUUGUGAGUGCGUGUCAGAGAGAGAGUCAGACGGACAGCCUCUCUCAGCUCUUGAAGGGUUUCCCAUCUAGAGUUCCAGGAGUCCACACAGAAUGUCCUCUCCUGAGGUGAGAACGUACUCCUGUGCCUCAGCGGCCUUCUCCACCUGGUUGCAGCAAGCACGCUACGGGGCACAUGGUGCUCAGAAAGCAGAGCAGCGAUUAAAAGCUCUUUAGCAAGAAGUCAGACAGAACUCGGUUUGAAUCUUGUCUCUGUCACUUUCUAGCUGUGUGACCUUAGACUAAUUGCUCCAUCUCUCUGAGCUUCAGUUUCCUCACCUAAAGGGGAUGAUCAAGUUUACUUCAUAAAAUUGCUCAGAGGAUUACACAAAACAAUGAAUGUGAAAUAGGGUGGUGCUUGGCAUAUAGGUGAUGACCAGUAAAUGAUAAUUUAUGUAUUAUAAUUCAUACCUUCCUUUAAAAUCAUCGUUUUAUCAGUAUGAAAUUUGCAUGACUCUAAAUUACCAACCCAAAUUUCUUUUGCUGGUGUUUACAUGAUGUAUCUUUUUCCAUCCUUUUAUUUUCAAUCUUCUGUGUCCCAGUAUUUAAAGCAUGUCUCUUAUAAACAGCAUAGUGUUAUUUUUGAAUCUGGUUUAACCAUCUUUGUCUUUUCAUUGGAGCAUUUAGUCCAUUUACAUUUAAUGUAAUUACUAACAUAGCUGUCUUCUAGUCUACCAUCUUGCUACUGGGCACGACCUUUACUCCCAGAAUGUGCCCCUUCUGGGGUCUCAACCAAAAGCCUAAGAUGUUUGCCAAAGCCCCUGUGUCUCCUCCCCAUUACGCAGCAGCUGAAAUCUGUUCAGCUCUUCAUCUUCUCAGCUGCUGUUUCCUGCUGGGUUUCCCAGAGUUCUCACUGCAUGCUUGGUUUAGGAGUCAGCCAGCAACUUGAGGGGAACCUGUAUGCAGAUUUCUCAUUCAGUCCUCUCCAUCAUUCUUCCUUCAAGUUCCAGCUACUCUGGCCGCCUUAAACUCUGAUCUCAGCGCAAUAAGACUGCUGCUGCUUUCUGCUAUCACCCAUUCCUCCCUGCCCUGCGCUCCCCAAAUGCCCACCGGCCCCCCCCCCC
rnacentral:lncRNA from 1 species